rnacentral:misc_RNA from 1 species
AACGCACCUUGCGCUCCUUGGUAUUCCGAGGAGCAUGCCUGUUUGAGUGUCAUGAAAUCAUCAAACUCAUUAGUCUUUGCGGUCUAGUGGGCUUUGGACUUGGAGGCUUGUCGGCGACUGCAAAGUCAUCGACUCCUCUCAAAUGCAUUAGCUUGAUUCCUUGCGGAUCGGCUCUCGGUGUGAUAAUUGUCUACGCCGUGACCGUGAAGCGUUUUGGCGAGCUUCUAAUCGUCUCUUGCGAGACAGCUUACAUUGACCUCUGACCUCAAAUCAGGUAGGACUACCCGCUGAACUUAA